rnacentral:lncRNA from 1 species
CCAUACUUUGAAGUGUUGAAUUUAACUCACACAUACGGAUACAAAUUGGUGCUGGUGACUUGUCUUCUCCUUCUGUUAAUUCUGUGAGAAUUGAUUGAAGAAUUUUCCCCAUUUUUACCAAUCAUUUGACUUGAAAACAUACUGUUCAUUUCAAAAAUAUCUGCAAAUUACAUCCCACCAUAUCUCAGUCAUCAUGCUCAUCAGUAUAAUAACCUGAAAUGAGAUAUCUACUCGCUGUUUGUGUAAAUGAUAGUUGAUGGACUAAUUCUUGAAUAUUCCAUUACUCUAAUUUAUGCUAUAAAAUGUGUUAAAUAUAGAAGCAUAUGAUAUUUCUCUCUUCCUCUCCUCUUUAUCUGCUUCAUCCUCCUGUUUGCACCUUUGUCAUCACCUUAUCGGCUCCUCAUUUAUUGACCUUCACCGCAAUGCAGCGCUGCCACCUCCACCGCCAUUGCAGCAACUACGAUGGCAGAUGAUCUUUAGGCAAAUUUUCCUUAUCUCAAUUUUUUGUUGAUGAACUUUCCUUGUUGUGCAUAAACAACAGAUGAUCUAAAACCAGCUGAAACUGCUCUUUGUGUCACUGCAGCAGCAAAGAACAUUCAUACAGAUGAGGGCAAAACCUCAAAAGUGGUGGACAACUCCGUGAAGGACCAGUUGGGCCAGUGCAGUGGUACUCAGUCACCAAGCAGGGAGAACCAGUUGGGCCAGUGCCUGACGAGGUUUAGGAGGAAGAAGCAUGUCGAGCUUCGUACUUAGGCCGAGCACAUAAGUUUGACUACCCGACAUCUGUAGGAUGAUCUUUUAGGGUUUGCUGGCUGGGUGAAGUCCGUCUUCAUGAUAUAUCUUUCCGUUGGAUUGAAGAGCGGUAGUUGUGGAUCAAAUGCUCAUAAAUAUAUCUACAUCACAUCAUUAUCUUUUUGCUCCUGCUAAACUGAGCUUUAGUUGCUCAAAAGGGAUAGUAAGGUUUGAUUUACUGUAUCGGAAAGAGAGAAAAGGCUUCCUCCUCACCUGACAGACUUACAAAUACUAAGUAAAAGAGGGUUUGAAA